UUUAUUUACAUUGCUUUGUAAUAUAAAUCUGUUUUAGAACUGCAGCGGUUUACAAAAUUUUUUCAUAUGUAUUGUUCAUCUGUACUUCAUCUUACAUCGUCAUGAUUGAGUGGUCUUUACAUUUGAUUCCAGAGGCUAUGUUCAGUUGUUAGUUGGGAAAGAUUGAGUUAUCAGAUUUAAUUUGCGGAUAGGAGCCUUUAUCUGUCAUUAGAAAUCUUUCUCACUUAAGAACUUAUGAAUAUGCUGAAGAUUUAAUUUGUGAUACCUUUGUAUGUAUGAGACACAUUCCAAAGAGCUCUAACUAUGAUAGGUCCUGAUUACUAAAGAAGCUUCUUUACUGGCCUCAAUUUCUAGCUUUCAUGUUGGAAAAUUUUCUAAAGUCAUUCUGUGAAAAUUAGAGCAAAGUGCUCCUGUUUUUUUAGAGAAACUAAAUCUUGCUGUUGAACAAUUAUUGUGUUCUUUUCAUGGAACAUAAGUAGGAUGUUACAUUUCCAGGGUGGGAAGGGUAAUCCUAAAUCAUUUCCCAAUCUGUUCUAAUUACCUUAAAUCUAAAGGGAAAAAAAAAAAAAAAUCACCAACAGGACUGGGUAGUUUUUUAUCCUAAGUAUAUUUUUCCUGUUCUUUUUACUUGGUUUUAUUGCUGUGUUUAUAGCCAAUCUAUACAUCAUGGGUAAACUUAACCCAGAACUAAAAAUGUAGUUGUCUCAGUCCCCUCCAGGCCUCCUGGAUGGGCAAGUGCAGUGAAACAGGUGCUUCUUGCUCCUGGGUUUUCUCUCCACGAUGUUAUGCCCAAUUGGAAAUAUGCUCUCAGUUUGUGCACCAUAUGGUGACCAGGCCUGUGUUCAGUUUGGCAGCUAUAGAAGGAGAUGCUGUCCCAUAAAAUGCCAUUCCUAUUUUCUAAUAUAAAACUCUUUUCCAGGAAGCAUGCUUAAGCAUCUUGUUACAGAGACAUACAUCAUUAUGGCUUGGCAAUCUCUUUUAUUUGUUGACUCUAGCUCCCUUCAAAGUCGACGAAAGAUCUUUACUUACUUAAUGAGGACAUUCCCCAUCGCUGUACCAGUUCACCUUUAUUUUACGUUUUAUUCAGUCUGUAAAUUAACUGGCGCUUUGCAGUAACUUGUACAUAAAGUGCUAGAAAAUCAUGUUCCUUGUCCUGAGUAAGAGUUAAUCAGAGUAAAUGCAUUUCUGGAGUUGUUUCUGUGAUGUAAAUUAUGAUCAUUAUUUAAGAAGUCAAAUCCUGAUCUUGAAGUGCUUUUUAUACAGCUCUCUAAUAAUUACAAAUAUCCUAAAGUCAUUUCUUGGAACACAAGUGGAGUAUGCCAAAUUUUAUAUGAAUUUUUCAGAUUAUCUAAGCUUCCAGGUUUUAUAAUUAGAAGAUAAUGAGAGAAUUAAUGGGAUUUAUAUUUACAUUCUCUCUCAACUAUGUAGCCCAUAUUACUCACCCUAUGAGUGAAUCUGGAAUUGCUCUUCAUGUGAAAUCAUUGUGGUCUAUGAGUUUACAACACUGCAAACUGUGUUAUUUUAUCUAAUCCAUUGCUUAAUGAGUGUGUUUUUCCAUGAAUGAAUAUACCGUGGUUCAUGUGUUAGCAUGGCAGCAUUUUCAGAUAGCUUUUUGUUUGUUGGGAAGUUGGGGUUUUGGGGGUAGGGGGAGUAUUAGUACAUUGCAUGAAAUAGCUUACUUUAUAAUGAUGGAAUUGCUUUUUCUUUUGUCUUGUGAUUUUUUUUUGAAGUGAAAUUUAACUUUUUGUGCAAGUAGUACUAUUAUACCCAUCUUCAGUGUCUUGUACUGUAUCACAUUCCAUACCCUCAUUUAAUUCUUAAUAA
ensembl:lncRNA